AAUCAACGCUGGCGGCGUGCCUAACACAUGCAGGUCGAGCGGAUGAGGAAAGCUUGCUUUUCGAUUCAGCGGCGGACGGGUGAGUAAUGCCUAGGAAUCUGCCUGUUAGUGGGGGAUAACUCGGGGAAACUCGGGCUAAUACCGCAUACGUCCUACGGGAGAAAGUGGGGGAUCUUCGGACCUCACGCUAACAGAUGAGCCUAGGUCGGAUUAGCUAGUAGGUGAGGUAAUGGCUCACCUAGGCGACGAUCCGUAACUGGUCUGAGAGGAUGAUUAGUAACACUGGAACUGAGACACGGUCCAGACUCAUACGGGAGGCAGCAGUGGGGAAUAUUGGACAAUGGGCGAAAGCCUGAUCCAGCCAUGCCGCGUGUGUGAAGAAGGUCUUCGGAUUGUAAAGCACUUUAAGCGAGGAGGAGGCUUUGUGGGUUAAUACCCUGCAAAGUGGACGUUACUCGCAGAAUAAGCACCGGCUAACUCUGUGCCAGCCGCCGCAGUAACAC
rnacentral:rRNA from 1 species